UUGACCUCGGAUCAGGUAGGACUACCCG
rnacentral:rRNA from 1 species